UACCUGGGUUGUUUCCUUCCUCUCAUGAGC
rnacentral:piRNA from 2 species